CGCUGGCGGCAGGCCUAACACAUGCAAGUCGAACGGUAACAGGAAGCAGCUUGCUGCUUCGCUGACGAGUGGCGGACGGGUGAGUAAUGUCUGGGAAGCUGCCUGAUGGAGGGGGAUAACUACUGGAAACGGUAGCUAAUACCGCAUAAUGUCGCAAGACCAAAGAGGGGGACCUUCGGGCCUCUUGCCAUCGGAUGUGCCCAGAUGGGAUUAGCUUGUUGGUGGGGUAACGGCUCACCAAGGCGACGAUCCCUAGCUGGUCUGAGAGGAUGACCAGCCACACUGGAACUGAGACACGGUCCAGACUCCUACGGGAGGCAGCAGUGGGAAUAUUGCACAAUGGGCGCAAGCCUGAUGCAGCCAUGCCGCGUGUAUGAAGAAGGCCUUCGGGUUGUAAAGUACUUUCAGCGGGGAGGAAGGGAGUAAAGUUAAUACCUUUGCUCAUUGACGUUACCCGCAGAAGAAGCACCGGCUAACUCCGUGCCAGCAGCCGCGGUAAUACGGAGGGUGCAAGCGUUAAUCGGAAUUACUGGGCGUAAAGCGCACGCAGGCGGUUUGUUAAGUCAGAUGUGAAAUCCCCGGGCUCAACCUGGGAACUGCAUCUGAUACUGGCAAGCUUGAGUCUCGUAGAGGGGGGUAGAAUUCCAGGUGUAGCGGUGAAAUGCGUAGAGAUCUGGAGGAAUACCGGUGGCGAAGGCGGCCCCCUGGACGAAGACUGACGCUCAGGUGCGAAAGCGUGGGGAGCAAACAGGAUUAGAUACCCUGGUAGUCCACGCCGUAAACGAUGUCGACUUGGAGGUUGUGCCCUUGAGGCGUGGCUUCCGGAGCUAACGCGUUAAGUCGACCGCCUGGGGAGUACGACCGCAAGGUUAAAACUCAAAUGAAUUGGCGGGGGCCCGCACAAGCGGUGGAGCAUGUGGUUUAAUUCGAUGCAACGCGAAGAACCUUACCUGGUCUUGACAUCCACGGAAGUUUUCAGAGAUGAGAAUGUGCCUUCGGGAACCGUGAGACAGGUGCUGCAUGGCUGUCGUCAGCUCGUGUUGUGAAAUGUUGGGUUAAGUCCCGCAACGAGCGCAACCCUUAUCCUUUGUUGCCAGCGGUCCGGCCGGGAACUCAAAGGAGACUGCCAGUGAUAAACUGGAGGAAGGUGGGGAUGACGUCAAGUCAUCAUGGCCCUUACGACCAGGGCUACACACGUGCUACAAUGGCGCAUACAAAGAGAAGCGACCUCGCGAGAGCAAGCGGACCUCAUAAAGUGCGUCGUAGUCCGGAUUGGAGUCUGCAACUCGACUCCAUGAAGUCGGAAUCGCUAGUAAUCGUGGAUCAGAAUGCCACGGUGAAUACGUUCCCGGGCCUUGUACACACCGCCCGUCACACCAUGGGAGUGGGUUGCAAAAGAAGUAGGUAGCUUAACCUUCGGGAGGGCGCUUACCACUUUGUGAUUCA
rnacentral:rRNA from 1 species